UACGGAGGGUGCGAGCGUUAUCCGGAUUCACUGGGUUUAAAGGGUGCGUAGGUGGGAAUGUAAGUCAGUGGUGAAAUCUCUGAGCUUAACUCAGAAACUGCCAUUGAUACUAUGUUUCUUGAAUUUUCUGGAGGUCAGCGGAAUAUGUCAUGUAGCGGUGAAUGCUUAGAUAUGACAUAGAACACCAAUUGCGAAGGCAGCUGGCUACAGGGAUAUUGACACUGAGGCACGAAAGCGUGGGGAUCAAACAGG
rnacentral:rRNA from 1 species